UCCCGUAUGGGGUAGUGGUUAACCUCGCUGUCUCUCACACAGCAGCCACGAGUUCGAUUCUCGUUACGGGAG